rnacentral:rRNA from 1 species
AGAGUUUGAUCCUGGCUCAGAGCGAACGCUGGCGGCAGGCUUAACACAUGCAAGUCGAGCGGGCGUAGCAAUACGUCAGCGGCAGACGGGUGAGUAACGCGUGGGAACGUACCUUUUGGUUCGGAACAACACAGGGAAACUUGUGCUAAUACCGGAUAAGCCCUUACGGGGAAAGAUUUAUCGCCGAAAGAUCGGCCCGCGUCUGAUUAGCUAGUUGGUGAGGUAAUGGCUCACCAAGGCGACGAUCAGUAGCUGGUCUGAGAGGAUGAUCAGCCACAUUGGGACUGAGACACGGCCCAAACUCCUACGGGAGGCAGCAGUGGGGAAUUGUUCGCAAUGGGCGCAAGCCUGACGACGCAACGCCGCGUGGAGGAUGAAGAUCUUCGGGUCGUAAACUCCUGUCGAGCGGGACGAACACCUGCCGGGCUAACAUCCAGGCAGGCUGACGGUACCGCUAAAGGAAGCCCCGGCUAACUCCGUGCCAGCAGCCGCGGUAAUACGGGGGGGGCAAGCGUUGUUCGGAAUUACUGGGCGUAAAGGGCUCGUAGGCGGCCAACUAAGUCAGACGUGAAAUCCCCAGGCUCAACCUGGGAACUGCGUCUGAUACUGGAUGGCUUGAAUCCGGGAGAGGGAUGCAGAAUUCCAGGUGUAGCGGUGAAAUGCGUAGAUAUCUGGAGGAAUACCGGUGGCGAAGGCGGCAUCCUGGACCGGCAUUGACGCUGAGGAGCGAAAGCCAGGGGAGCAAACGGGAUUAGAUACCCCGGUAGUCCUGGCCCUAAACGAUGAAUGCUUGGUGUGACGGGUAUCGAUCCCUGUCGUGCCGAAGCUAACGCAUUAAGCAUUCCGCCUGGGGAGUACGGUCGCAAGGCUGAACUCAAAGGAAUUGACGGGGGCCCGCACAAGCGGUGGAGCAUGUGGUUCAAUUCGACGCAACGCGAAGAACCUUACCCAGGCUCGAACGGCAGCUGACAUCCGGCGAAAGCCGGCUCCCGCAAGGGCAGCUGUCGAGGUGCUGCAUGACUGUCGUCAGCUCGUGUCGUGAGAUGUGGGUUAAGUUCCCGCAACGAGGCGCACCCUUGUCGCUGUCGCAUCAGGUUAUGCUGGCACUCUGCGGGAACUGCCGGUGUAUAAACCGGAGUAGGUGGUGAUACUUCAAGUACGACAUGCCUUUAUGUCUGAGGGUACUCACCACGUGCUCAUCAUAGUAGGACG